AAGCCACUCUAUUGAACCUUUGCA
rnacentral:siRNA from 1 species